UUUACCAACAUAACCAAGGAUUGCGCAGAUUACGUGGUAUUACCAUGCGAAGUCAUAAACACGAAAAAUCAACAUCAAUGGUAUCGUUCAUCAUUCGAAAAAAUUCAGAAAAUAUUAAACGAAUCAUCAAUAGAUGAAUUAUCUCUAUACAAAGUAGAAAGCACUUUUGAAGCUGAGAAUUUGAAGACUGGCGAUGCUACAUUGCAUUUCCUAACUCGGUUUGAUACUGGGUGGUAUACGUGCUUAAAUCUGUCGACAGAGGGAUGCCCAAAUGUCAUUCGCAGUAUUUGGUUAGAAGUCAGAUGCGAUGGUAAUGAAAACAAAUAUCACACGAAACUGCAGAUGGAAAAAAUCCAGAAUGGUAUAGCACCACCUUACGUUAUUAUGAAGAGGAUUUUCAAUUUAGAAAACGGAAGUACUCUAGGCUUGGACAAUUA